UCCUUCUUCUUAUGGAACCGCUUACGUUGGCUACAACGAUUCAGGCAUGAAUCUCAUUGAUGCUAUGGUAGGAGAUAUCAACGUUGCAUAUAUUAAACCAAUAGAGGUUAAUUAUGCAAGCUAUAUUGUCUCAUCCUUUUUCUCAAUCAAUGAAAAGAGAGGAUGGGGCGGGGUCGAUGCCCUUGCGGUUAGUAAUCUAGAAUGUGGAAUGGAUAAGACUGGGAGGAGGUGGUGCCAACACCGAGUCGACCGAGAAUCAAUGGGAGAAGCCGGUUUGUGAAGAGGCAGUUAUGUUGGAUUGGACUUGAGCACACACUUAACUAUCUAGUAUAGGAGCAGCAUUUGGUACAACAAAGAGUGGAGUUGGAGUUGCAUCAAUGGGUAUUAUGAGACUAGAACUUAUGAUGAAAUCUAUAGUACCAGUUGUUAUAGCUAGAGUGCUUGGUAUAUAUGGUCUGAUCAUUGCAGUCAUCAUAAGCACAAGAAUCAAUCCCAAGGCUAAAUCAUAUUAUCUGUUUGAUGGAUAUGCCCACUUAUCAUUAGGUCUAACUUGUGGUCUAUUUGGAUGUCUGGAGGAAUGGCAAUUGGUAUUGUAGGUGAUGUUGCUGUCAGGAUUCAACAAUGUAAAUCUGUUUGCAUCAUGAGUGCUACAGGCGACAAAUGGAUGUUUUGUAGACCAGACAGGUUAAAUAAAAGAGGGGGAGUGGGGAAAGGUUUCAUGGGAUCCAAAUUUUCUUUUUGUCUUUUUAAAUCCAACUUUGGAUCCUAUGGCAAGAAGUUCAUUUCAUAUUCAUUUGGGAGCUUGUGUCCUGUAAUCAAAAUCUAGGGAAGCAACAUUUGGAGAGAAAAAACUUUCUUUGCAAAAUAGUGAUUUGUUCGAUGGUUCUUGGGUGGAUAAGAUUAUUUGUGAAGGAAGUGAAGAUGCUCCAAUAGCUAAAUUGAUUUUCAAUCUUCAAGAUGACCAAAUAUUGUUUGAGAUAGUAGAUGCUAAAGAAGGUAGACAUUUAUGGACUCAUGCAACAACUAUCUUUAUUUCUCCCUCAUCUAAAACAUGUGAAAUAGUAGAGCAUGCGAAUCAAGUUGCUUCCAUUGCUAGAUUCAAUAUCUUAAUGACAAAUAUUAUUCAAUUCAGAAAAGCUCUCAGCAACAACAUAAAUCUAAUACAAAGAAGCGAGCAUUUUGUGUAAUCAAAAUUGUGCAUUCUCUACCGGCCAUCAGAUUGCAGACAAUGAAGCCAAAAAUGACCAAGUGUUGUUUGUAGUUGAUUUAUUGUUCUUGUAGAAAUGGUGAUGUAGGAUUUCUCUAGGAAUUGAUCUACAAGGGUUAAUGCUUGUCUAUUGAGGUGUUAUUUUGCCAUGUUUUUACUGACCAUAUGGCACCUGAUUUUAACAAAAAUAAAUGUUUUGAUUAUCUUAAAGAGA